GAUGAACGCUGGCGGCGUGCCUAAUACAUGCAAGUCGAGCGAACAGACGAGGAGCUUGCUCCUCUGACGUUAGCGGCGGACGGGUGAGUAACGCGUGGAUAACCUACCUAUAAGACUGGGAUAACUUCGGGAAACCGGAGCUAAUACCGGAUAAUAUAUUGAACCGCAUGGUUCAAUAGUGAAAGACGGUUUUGCUGUCACUUAUAGAUGGAUCCGCGCCGCAUUAGCUAGUUGGUAAGGUAACGGCUUACCAAGGCAACGAUGCGUAGCCGACCUGAGAGGGUGAUCGGCCACACUGGAACUGAGACACGGUCCAGACUCCUACGGGAGGCAGCAGUAGGGAAUCUUCCGCAAUGGGCGAAAGCCUGACGGAGCAACGCCGCGUGAGUGAUGAAGGUCUUCGGAUCGUAAAACUCUGUUAUUAGGGAAGAACAAAUGUAUAAGUAACUAUGCACGUCUUGACGGUACCUAAUCAGAAAGCCACGGCUAACUACGUG
rnacentral:rRNA from 1 species